AGCUAGCUCCCUUCACUCUGAGCAGUCAUUAGAAGCGGAGGACGUUUCUCCCCCUCCUUACCCAGACAAGGGAGAAGAAAGGGACCAAGUCUAUUUGGAGGAGACAAGCGGACCUGAGCCUUAUUGUUUUGAGCUUGUGAUCCUCUGGUGUCUGCAGCUGGUCUCCUCUGGUGGUGUCGUCAGGAUCAGGAGCUUCCAGAAGAAUGUGCCAUUGAAUGAUUCCUUCCCCCUCUAAACAGUUAUUUGUUAUAUUAAUUAAAUAAAUCACAACUUAUAUA